UUGUGGCUAGGAGGAGGAUACUUCUUGGAGUUUCACUUUUAACUUACCUUUCUUCAUCUCCAUAUUUGUCAAAUUGGGCUCUUUCAUUGCUUUGGCGUUUGCCUAUUGAUUACGGCUAAUUUGACAUCAAGAUUCAAUCUUUUUGAGAUUUUUUGCUUGUUUGUUUGAUAUGUGAAUUGGGGAGUUUCAAAGUUCAAAACAUUUUUUUUGUGGGGGUGGAGAGAUUAGUUGGAAAGGAGUAGCUAACCGAUUGAAGGAAAUAAUUUGAUUUGUAGCAGGGAAAGAUAUGGCAAUUUGCAAUUGCUUUUGUGGUCCAGUAGGGAGAAGAAGCAAGAAAGAUAAGGUGGGUGUUUCAAUUUUUAAUACAACCCUGUCUUUCUUUAGUUUGAACAUGCAUGUCAAAGUUUAUUAAUUUUUUAGCUUAUCUGUAUGUUUUGUUGAUUUAGGGGGAGAAGGGAGCUAAAAAGACUACUGAUGUGGCUGUACUAGUUGAAGGUUCUGUAAACUCUAGU
rnacentral:lncRNA from 1 species